rnacentral:lncRNA from 1 species
AAGAAAUGUUUAAUGGCAUGCGUAAGAAACUGGUUGAGGUCUAAGUCAUGUUCUAAACUGCUUCAGGGUAGAGAGACUUCUUAUGGCACCCUUGAGGGUUCAAUGCCGUGGCGCCCAGCGCAUCAGAAGGACACACCCACAGACAAUGUGCUUGAGGACAGACCUUGUAGGGGUGCUAUGGACUGGUUGGAGGACAUGAUUCCUUUUACAAUGAAAGUGUGAGAAGACUGUCUUACUGAGAUGGCAUGUGGAUAUUGAUGGAAAUUGCCUUGUUUGUAGGCAAAGACAACUCAAAACAAAACCAAAUAAACAAACAGAAAUAACAACAGCAAAGAAAAGUACAGUUCUGAGCAAGAGAAGAGAAAGUCCGCAGAGGACAGGACAGCAAUGUAAACAGAACAAUACUGUUUUUAAAAAAGGAGGAAUAUGAACUUCAGCAAGCUGAAAGGAACUUCCAUGAUCACCUUCUAGAAUGAUCGAAAUGACCUGCCAUUUCAAAGUCACCCCGACGUGUCCCGUGGGACGAAAACUACUGACAGCAAGAAAACCAGCUUUGACUUGGAGGCGAGCGUCCCCCCGGCCCCUGAGCAGCGCGCUGGCAGGGCGGCCGUUCCUUUCAGCUCGCUUUCACAGAUGGUAGUCUCAGCUGUGACAGGACCUCUGCCAUCCAAGUGAUGGGUAGGCAGGCAAACAGAAAGAGCAGCAUGUCCUGCGUGAUACAGACAACCAACGCUUCUCCAGAGGACGUGCAGUCAGUGAAGACACAGACAGAGAAGAAGUGAAAGGGAAAGUCGUGGAGGGCGGCCGCCUCCUCCUCGCCACCUACCAUCGGCUUUAGCUCUCGGGCGUCUGCGGCGCCUCCUUUGCCAGCUUCCUUCAGGGCUUUCCUACUGUUCUCCACAAACUCCUGCAAAACACGGAGCACACGGCAUUAACCUGAGGAUCUUCCUAGGUUUCAGUCAGUAGGUGAACUUCAAUGAUUCAACCUUAGUGGGUAAACAGAACUUUGAAUGAAGAUUGGCUGGGAUGGAUUGCAAUUCCUAGAUAGAAAAUCUUCCUUCCAU